rnacentral:lncRNA from 1 species
UCAAAAUGUCUAACAAAACAUUGGACCCGAAUACUCUCAACUAAAACCUUAGGCGAGCGGCGACAUAAAAUUUUGAGGGGUCUGGCGGCCGCCGCAGUUAACGAGUAGGCGACGACGAUAAGGUUUAAGCAACGAUAGUGACGUUAAAGUUGUGGUCCAUGUUUUAGCAUUUUUUUAGAGGUUUUCUCUAUACGGUAGGGUUUACAAUGUUGACGGCUAGAUUUUUGCACGCUUUUUUCUCAGCGGCGGAUCGACGAUGGAGAUGGUUACGCCAGGACGAGGAGAUGAUGUGAUGGAUCAAGGAGCGGACGGCUACAGCUGGACGAAGAAGGACAGUUAGCAGCUUUUGUGGAUAUCCAGGAACGUCCAAAAAAACCUGGGAACGGCAGGCCUGCACAACAAAUCCUGUCACGAGGAGUGAUUUGUUGGUAACGAUCAAUCUCUUCUAGUGUUUGAUGUUUUAGGUGCUCCAGUUCGGGCUCCACUGGUCAUUUACUGUUUUCUUAGUCUCAAAUGUUUUUGUUGGUUUGAACUUUUAUUAUUUUCUUGUUUUCGUUGUCGGGUUGUUCUUAGCGCAUGGGUUGUACGUCUUUAUUCAAGGUCUUUUUUAUUUGGGAUGAUUUGUAACACAGAAUGUGUUUGCAUAUGCU